CCGUAUUGAGCGUUCCUCUAUGUCUAAGCGACAAGCUGCACUAACGUCUUUUGGGUUUGGUGUACCUGGCAGUUGUAGUAAUACCCCACCACCCGCAACGCGUCCUGUUACUGCUGGAUGAGACAUACUGGCUGCUGGAACGGAUGCUGGUCAACAUCAGCUGGAACAAUUGAUUCGCGGGUCACUGCAUUGAAAUUCAGCGAAUUGCAUCCCCCAUAUGACCUUGGGCAGGUUUUGAAGUUUGCUAGGCAGUUGUCUGAGCAGGAGAGGUAUGCAGUUAUUUUCAAUGUAUACAAACCAGAACCAGACUUUGUGUUCCCCACCCAUGAGGACUUUGGGAAAGAAAAGUGUUCUUCUUAUGGUUGGUUGAAGAACAACAGCCUAUGGCUUGUCUACUCAAAGGCACUAGAUGGUGGAUUCUGUCUGCCAUGAGAUCGUUGUCUACUACAAGUCGUGCAAACGGUAAGACUUACGAAUCGACUUUCCAGUGAACUGGAUACAUACGAGUCAUGGGUUUCUGAGGCCAUACUCUUACGAUGCGAUGAUUGCUUGUGCGUUGAAAGC